CCUAAGGGUCAGAGAACCACAGGACCAGCCAGUGUGCUGGGUCCCCUUUGCUCAUGGCCAUCCAAGCUUCAGACAGUUAAAGGCACCUGGAGCUCCUUCAAAACCAUGGUUAUAAACUCCAUCAACGAUGAACCGCUGUGUGAGUCAGUCAUGCCAUCAGCAGGCUCAAAAAAAAAAAAAAGCAACAGCUCUAAAGAGAAGAAACUUGCAAUGCUUGUUAUUACCACGGCAAAACUCCCACUCCUUCAGUAGAGACAGGAAUGGCCAAGCCCUUGUUCAGCCUUGGCGGUAAUAUCUGCUAUCAUUUGUCAGCCUUCACAUAAUCAGAGCCAUGAUGCUGCCAUCAACAUCUCAGCUGAUGAGAAGGAGCAAAUACGUGGGAAUGAAGGAACACAGAUGUCAGGGGUUUGUGUGAGCUCCGCUCUGUCUUGGUUCAUCAGUUUGGCCAAGAAAUGUGAUGCCCCAUGUCUUAUUUCUCCUGUCUCUAAAGAGCAGCAACCCUCACCUUCCAUGCUGAAGAAGAUGUAAAGCUUAACCCACAAAUGUCCAUGAAGCGCUUCGAUGAAAAAUAACAAGGAAAUUUGAAAUGUUUGUAAUUAGCUUUCCACCCGGCUUUCUCUCUACUUCAUCCCUCCUGACAUGCAGCAGCCAGAGAUAAACCUUCUUAGUCUCCACGCUCCAGAGCGGUCUGUCUAGCACCCGUCACAAGUCCUACCUUCAGUUUUGGGGAAAGCACAAGAAACAAUGUCACCCGCUAGCUCUGAGACGUGAGCACAGGUCCUGCAACGCUUGUGCUGAAUGGCAUUACUUGGAUCAUUAACUUCUGACCUGCAACAUAGUGCAAGGCUGAUGGUGCCAAUUUUUUCAGCCUAGAUCCAAAGAAGGAUGUGGGCUUUGCAUUCUUCAUUUCUAAGGCACUGAGGCCUUCGAGAGAGACCCAGCAUCCUGGGAAGGUGCCUGGCUCUAUAUAGCACCAAAGAAAGGUCCGGCUGGGAUCGGAGGGAGCCUAUCGCAGACCUGCUUUUCUCAAUGGAAGGUCCACAGCCUGGAACGCUUUCCUGAGGAAGGAGUUAGGGGGCCUCAUAUGAAGCUAGAAGCAGCUAGCUCCAAAACAAAUGUUACAAGAUUAUUCUUCUUCCAGCUGAUAGAGGGUGGAUUUGUUGGACUCCAUGCCACAAACAUGGUGGACGCAGAAACAUUGUGUGGAUUCAAGGGGAGGUAUCUUGCUGUUGGACAGAGGCUUGUGCAAAUGCUGUUCCUCACAUCCCACCUUUGACGUCGUUAUGUUGCUGCUGGGUGUAUUUCCUCGCUGUCUGAUGUUAUCUUGAAUUUGAGCAGAAAGUCCAGAAGAAUUCAAGGAGAGAAGUGUUAAUUCUCCACCACACAUAGGGAGAGAUAUGGAAGUGACUCUCCUAGGCACCUCUGUCUCAUUUGAUGCUCAGGAAAAGAAAAAGGAAAGUAAAACAAAGGUUUUUUGCACAUGGACUUUCUCAUUGCCUUGCUGCUUCUCCUAAGUCUUCCUCUCUGAAGCAGUGAAAAGGGAAGGUGACUCAGUCUUCUACUCUCUCUGAAUAAAAUAAAAUAAAAUAAAAUAAAAUAAAAUAAUCUGGUCUCUGAAGGCAGUUUUACAC